CGGCACCGUUGAAUUACGGGGGGACUCCUACGGGAGGCAGCAGUGAGGAAUAUUGGUCAAUGGACGGAAGUCUGAACCAGCCAAGUAGCGUGCAGGAUGACUGCCCUAUGGGUUGUAAACUGCUUUUAUACGGGGAUAAAGUCAGGGUCGUGACCCUGUUUGCAGGUACCGUAUGAAUAAGGACCGGCUAAUUCCGUGCCAGCAGCCGCGGUAAAAU
rnacentral:rRNA from 1 species